rnacentral:ncRNA from 1 species
GUUGCAGGGGUGCCAUUAGGCUGAGAAGAAAUCUUUCUAACCCUUAGAACCUGAAACUAGAUAAUGCUAGCGGAGGAAGCAAUAAAAUUA